UGUCACUGUAUGUAAACUUCUGACCACAAUUGUGUGUGUGUGUGUGUGUGUGUGUGUGUGUGUGUGUGUGUGUGUCCAUACUAGCUAUAAAGCCUAUUUAUUGUGUGUGAGAAUACAGGUAUAGACAUGCAGUGUGCCAUAAUAGUUUAUAAGGUCUAAAUAUAGGCUAGUGAUGGCUCGAAUGUGAAUUUGUAGCAGAGUGGAGCAAAGCUCCUUAAGAGAAUAUGGUAAUGCAUCGACCUGAUUUUUGAUGGCUUUUGUAACUGUAGGGAACCCAAUCGUAAAUGCAAGGCAAUGCAUCUCAAACACUUCAUCAUCAGACAAUGAAACGUAUGUUUAUUUACAUAAGAUGGAUGGGUUUUUAUCUAGUGCUUUUUUUAAUUUGCUUUUUUAACCUCCUAGGGCUUAGCGGUCACAUGCGUGGACAGCACUUUAUGGAAAUUCGGAACAAGAAUCCACAUAUGUGGACAUACUUUUUCUCUAAAAGUACAUCUUAUCAAAAGAUGAUGCUUAGUUUUUAUUCUAAUCAGGUUCUAAUAAGCCCAAAUAGCAAAGAGAAAUAAAAAAUGCAUGUAAAAAAACAGCUUGGGCCUUAGGAGGUUAAAAAUGACGUGAGAUUAUUUACUAACGCAUUUUACAGUCGUUGGGAGCUCUGCUUUUAGGCAGUGCCUAAAUCAAUCAAUAUCUAUCUAUAAACUUGACAUUGAAAUUUUGACAGCGAAACAACACGUGUUUUUUUUUGUUUGUUUGUUUGUUUGUUUGUUUGUUUGUUUUUAAGCAAGGCAGCUUUUUUUUUUUUUUUUAACCUAGACCUAGAUCUACAUUUAACAGUCAAAUUGUUAUUGCAUGUGAACUAAUACACUGAACGAUUGUUAUACCUUUCUUGUAUUUCUUCUAGUUAAUCGGCUUGCGUGAUCUGAAUCCCUUUUCCGUGGACAGUGCCAGAAUAUUGCUGGCACGGCAUCAGGAUUGAGUCUAACGCAACCUGCGUAGCCCAAGAACUCGUCCUGUAGAAAACCUGUUGGUACAGUUAAACGCAGCUAAUCUUUAUUCUCCGCUUUGACCUAUCCAAAAUGGCGGCGAGGAUGACGUAUGAUUCUACGCGGAAGGCGGCGUCUUCAAUGGUCCGGAAUAAAGUGAAUGAUACACGUUGAUGGAAUUAAUUUGUUGUUUCUCACCUGUGAAAGGUAAUCCCAUAUGAUCUCGUUUGGAUGGUAAACCUGUUGGUACAGUUAAACGCAGCUAAUCUUUAUUCUCCGCUUUGACCUCUCCAAUAUGGCGGCGAGGAUGACGUAUGAUUCUACGCGGAAGGCGGCGUCUUUAAUGGUCCGGAAUAAAUUGGAUUAAUUUGCUCCUCUACGCCCUUUUUGAGGAAUGUAUUGUCGGACUUAAAUCAACAUCUGAAAAGGUGAGAUCGCUCCUUUUUUCCCCUAUUUUUGCUGGCGGGAUUGCACCAUUACACAAUACAUAUUCACAGUGAAAAUAUUUUGUAAGCGCGUUUCAUGAACCAAGUUAUAGGAUUUGUUGACAACUCGCAUCGCAAUGAGAACAUUAUUGGCACUACUGGUGUUAAGAAUCAGACCAUUUCAUAAAUGAAUAUUUUGCUGUAGAGCUGCAGUGUUUGUACAAUUGCAUGUUUUUGCUUCACUAUUACUGUCACUAUUCUGCUUCUUGCAUUACUACUGUGAACUAACACUGAACAUAAUAAUAAUAAUAAUAAUAUCCCAGCUCGUGUUUCACUCUCACUAGUGCUCUGUAAGGCUUUUUCCUGGUGAUAUUCGUUACACUUCUACCCGGCGUGAAGCACUCACAGUCAUGUGGUUGUGACGUCAUCGUAAACAAAUCCGUUCUACUCAUCCAGACGACUUCACAACGGCAACGUUGCCAGAUCUUUCCACUCUGGAACCCGUUCUCAAAAAGAUUGCGUUUUGGGCACCCAAAAACGCCGGUGCCGUGUGGACGCCAGGCCUAAACGAUAAGCAAUUGUAUCGGAGUCACCUGAAUCCGUUGCCGUGUGGACAGGGCCUGAGUUCUGGAGCAUCACAUUUGUGGGGUCGAUUAAAUGCUCAAAAUGGCCAGAAAAAUGUCUUGACUAUAUUUUCUAUUCAUUUUACAACUUAUGGUGGUAAAUAGAAGUGAGACUUUUCAUGGAAAACACAAAAUUGUCUGGGUGACCCCAAACUUUUGAACGGUAGUGUACCUUUUAGUAUUUCAGCAGAUUUUCAUGCUGUGCAAGUUAAACAAGGGAAAUAAAGCAAGAUCUACUGAAUCGUGUGUCGUGUCCCCCCCCCCACACACACACACACUUAUUGCAGAACUGUGAUUUGCUGCAUACAUAGUUAUUGGUUAUAGAGGAAAACUUUUCGUACUGUGUACAAAAAAGGGAAUUCUUUUUAAUAGUGAAAGUUCAGUAAUGGAGAUUACUCGAUUACAAUAUGCCCUUCUUCGUUUUUAUAAAUGAUCUUUUUUAAACUGCAGAUGAUUAGCAAUCUAAGGAGUGACGUUUCAAUACUUAUUAUUGCAAGAUGAAAUGAAAACCUAGAAAACGAUAUUGUGAUUUUUUUUUCUCUCUCUCCUUGCUUUGAAAUGUCAUGCAGUACAUCACUUCACAUUACUACAUGUGGUGGUAAUGAUGUGCAGAUGAAAUUAUAAUAUAAAUGAAUGAUGAAUGAGUAGCACACUUCCAUGACUGGCUAAGUAAAGGCUUUUGAAUUCCUGAUUGAAGAUGAAAUGAUUUUCAACAAAAUAUUACAUUACAUUUGAGCAGUUUCACAAACAACCCUCCAGCAUUUCCCUGUUUCCAGUAAACAAGACUGUAGUUAAUCCAAAUCAAAUACUUGGAUCUUUGCUGAAGAUAAUACUGAAGUGUCUGUUUCAGAUUUUACAAAGGGGUGGGGUCGUGGGGUGAUUUUAUUUAUUUUUUUCUCUUCUUCAAAAAUCGUGCUUCUGAAGCGUAUCCAGACCCUAACUGAGAUUUCAUCUGUGAACCAGCCUCCACUAGAUGUUUGUGUAUCAGUGUAUGAGCAGGACAAAUGUAUACAGUGCCUAUUUAUAUGAACAAGUCCAAACUGAUUGUACUUCUUACACGUAGCCUACUUGAUGUGACAAAAUACUUUGUGCACUUUGUUCGCAUUACUGUAUACAGUAAGAGCACAUUGAUUUUUGUAACGGCUGACGUAAUGUAAUAAAUGUUUAUAUUCACUGUA